AUGUCGCGAAAGGAAUACUCAUGGUUUCUGAAGACUGACUAUGCUCCCUCGAGUACUACGCAGCAACAAACUCAGGAUAACUCAGUCGAGAACUUUAAAAGAGCAAACAAGAUUCUGGCUUUGGAGUCUGAGCCGGUUCAAAUAUGGGAUUUCUCUGCGCGAACAACCUUCAUAUGGAUGAAUGAAUGGAACCGUAUGCCCCAAGAUCCUCGGUCUAAGAUCCUCGGCCUUCUGACCAGGAGGCAACAGGUGAGGAUGGUGGCAGGAGGAUGUACCUGCGGCGUGAGGAGAUGGGUGCAGGAACAGCCGGCGCACGGAGGUGGCUGGUUCCGACGGCCUCAGGUG
rnacentral:rRNA from 1 species